AUAAAGAAGGUCCCCAGGAAAUUCAGUGGUUGGACCAGAUCACACAUGUAACUGAAUGACAGAGGAAGGAUUUGAUCUCAGGGCUCACUUCGACACAAGCUAUUUCCAUCCUCCCACUUCUUCAAGGGCCUGCAUAGUCCAAGGAAAAGUGGGGUCAAGCUGAGAGAGCUUAUGGAAAAGGGCAAAUUCUGAUUGCUGGAAGUGCUUUUUAUCUUCUCUCCAGGUAUAUUCAUGAAACUCUCCUUAGAUUUGGUGCAACUUCCUGCUGGGCUUCUUGUAGAGUCCUGGAGUCUUUGUCCUUGACUCUUGAUAUUAACAGUGCUGCAUGUCAUUGUUGUUCCAGGGACAUCUGGGAAAAUUCCAAAUCUCCCCUUUCUGAAGCUGACAGGCUUGACAGGACCUGCCAGGACUUGUGUUCUGCUGUCUUAACCAUCAAGGACUCAGUAUCUGCCUUGGAGAGAAAUCAGAGAAACACAUCCCUUAAAGAAGCUAUGAAAUAACAUAUUCCUUUCUUUUCUUCAUUGGAUUCAGUGGGAAUUU
rnacentral:lncRNA from 1 species